AUUUAUCCAAGCUGAUCUUCAUAUUGUUUACGAAAGCAGUCACCGGCUGGGAAGAAAUCCCAACACCUUUCUUGGUACAUCUUCCAGACAUAAGAUUCCUGAAAUAAUAUGAACAACGGGUGCUUAUUUUUAAACCACAGUAAAAGCUAAAACCCAGUUUGUUUUUGUUCUUUGUGGCUCCCUUUAGGAAGACUGAUGUGAAUUUAUAUGAGGCCAAACCUGCACAUUCAUUCUUGCUCUAUUCCCAGCACAGGCUGUUUGGGAAGCAAGAAGCCAUGUCUCUCUGACACAUGCUGGCAGGGAAGGAGAAAAAUCCCCCUCUGCCCCAAACAAGCAAAACUGAAACCAAUCAAUGUUUGCCACUAAACAUACUUAAAGAUUUAGCAAUAAGCUGAUUCCAUGCCGCUGGUGGAAGACGGAGGAAUGCUUGAGGGAACGUUUAUUGCAUGCUGAAUCCAGAGCUGGAAACCAGGUACCUCUCCCAUUGAAUGAGUGAACUGUAAAGUUUUCCUACAAAGCCAAUGAUGUUUGAAUAUUUGAUAACUGACUUUUUCCUCCCUUGUUCUCUACCUUUCCAUUUCUUUUUCACAUUUAGUCACAAAAUUUGACACAUCCUUUCACUCAUCCUCUCACAUGCACACCUCCAGGCUCCUGUGUCACCCACACAUGAGGUCGUUAUCUUUCUUAGCCUGUCUCUCACUCCGUUGUACUCUGAUUUUUCUGCUCUUUGUUGCAGCCACCCACUCCAUUUCUUAUUGUCAGACAAUUUCUUAUUUCAUAUUGUCUCUGUAAUGUUCUCCCCACCUCCAGCUCUUCUAGUCUGAAGCAGUAGCUAUAAGCAUUUAGAAAAUGUCAGUGUUUGUUGGGAAGGAUAAACAGGAGGACUUUGGCUUCUUAUUGAGUCACAAAAAGGUGAUGGGAAAAUGCAUUCACGGGAUUAAUGGGGCCAUGUAUGUAUUUCAGAUAACCUAUGCCCUACUAAGUCUCAAGAUUUAGGAAAGGGAGAUCUAACACGGGUAUAUGAUUCUUAAUUUCUCACCUGACCCGUGUGCUCUGUUUCAUCUUUAUUAAUCAAAUACAUCAGAAAGAACCUGGAACGAGGAAAAGAUAGUAUUAGAUACUCUGGUCAAGACCCAAGUUCAUUCGCAUGGAUUAACUGUGAUCAGGGCUCAGAAAGGCUAGUUGGUCCCACGCUAUCUACAGUGACUUAAAUGAUCAGGGAAGUGUGGCAUAAGGACACAAACCAUCAUUUUCUAAUAGUAGCACACAUGAAUCUCAAAAUUAGCCACUUUGUGAGGAGAGAUGCUUUUUGCCAUCCCUAUACCUUGAACUAAGUAAGAUCACUUGCAAGGUAGCAUUUUGGCCACCAUUUUAUUGUUAACAAAAUUCUAAUAAAACAAUAAAAUGGUAGCCCAAAUUCUUACCAUAGAAUAUUUAACAGGCCAUUUAUCAUCUCAUAAAAAUGUAGAAUUGAAUUGAAAUUAAUUAUGUGUGUGUCUCAAGAAUAUCUGUCAUGGAAAAGUUAGAAAGUAUUUAAUCUCAUGGAGAUUCUUCCAGAACUAUAGUUUUGUUUUCAUCAUAAAUAGCUGCGGGAAUGCCAGUGUAGUUUCACUUGCUCUGUGAUCCAUAUCUUAGGUUUGAGUUUGUCUGUGACACAUAAGUAUCCCAGGGGGCAGGGGCUGAACUCUCAGCUCACAUUAUAUGAUCUCAGAGACCGUUUCCAAAGGAACCAGGCUCUUGCCCUUCCGGAAAAGGAUUGUGAAGUUGGUGAUAUGAGAAAGUAGAAAUUAUGUCCUUCUGAGGGUGGAGAGUCUAAGCCCCAGAUCUUGAGUUCUGUCAUGGUGGUAUAGUGUAUAGAGCGUCAGGUCCUGGCCCACAGUAGCAGCUCUAAGUAUGUUCACUGCCUUUCCGCUUCUCAUUUACUGAGAAAGACAGUAGGGUUAAUCUCUUUAUCCUGUUUGAUACGUAGGGGCUGAGGACAUCAUUCCUUGCCCAGCACAUUUAUUUAACAAAGCACCAUUUUAGGUGGGAGGCUCAAACACGAAUAAAAUUGGGUUCUUUCCCCUCAAGCUUGCUCCUAGAGGGGAUAGAGAUAGGAAAGAGACCAGUGUAACAGUGCCAUGGGAAGGCACAGAAGGGGUUCCAACCCAAAGGACAGCAUCCUUCCACUGGUCUAUAACCCAUGGGUACAGACACGUGGCCAUGGGCUCAUUAACCUCCAUUAAGAUGUAUAUUCUCUUAAUGGGAAUUGAUGAUAAAUACUCAUGAGGAAGGGCACAGUAAAGUUAUCUUUUUAAAACUCAAGUUUUUGAGGCCGGGUGUGAUGGCUCACGCCUCUAAUUCCAGCACUUUGGGAGGCUGAGGCCAAGGCAGGUGGAUCACUUCAGGUCAGGAGUUUGAGACCAGCUUGGCCAACACGGUGAAACCCUGUCUCUACUAAAAAUACAAAAAUUAGCCCAGGAUGGUGGCAGGUGCCUGUAGUCCCAGCUACUCAGGAGGCUGAGGCAGGAGAAUCACUUGAAUCCAGGAGGUGGAGGCUACAGUGAGCCAAGAUGGCGCCACUGCACUUCAGCCUGGGUGACAGAGACUGUCUCAAUAAAUAAAAAAACAAAACUCAUGUUUUUGACUUAAACUCAUCCCCCAGCAAAAACAUGUUAUCUUUGCCACUUCUGACAAUGCCUUCUCCAAAGGCUGAGCCUGCUCUAGCCUAAAGAAAGAUGAGGGCUCAGCCCAGUGGCUCACACCCGUAAUCCCAGCACUCUGGGAGGCCAAGGUGGGUGGAUAGCUUGAGCUCAGGAGUUCGAGAUCAGCCUGGGCAAUACAGCAAAGCCCCUUCUCUACCAAAAAAAAAAAUUAGCUGGUGCUAAAUUAGUGGUACACCUGUCCCAGCUACUCAGGAGGCUGAGGCGGAUGUCUUGAGCCUGGGAGGUGGAGGUUGCAGUGAGCCAAGAUCAUACCACUGCACUCGAGCCUGGGCAACGGGGUUGAGACCCUAUCUAUCUCGAAAGAUGAGGACUCUCUAAGCUACAAAAUAGAGAGAGAAGGGGGAAGAGCUAGGCUGGGGAGCAGAGCCCAGCAUUUUAUUUUUUUUCUUGUAAAUGAACAGUUACAGGGUCUGAGUUAUCAGGUAAUAAAAUCUAUACACUCUAUACAUUCUGUUUUAAGUUUUAUAGGAAGUCCCUAGCACCCAAUAGGUUCAAGUAACUUGUUAUUCAGUGAAUGCUUUACCGUAGAAUAAGUGAAACACUUAUUAGUUGCCUACUGGGUGCCAGGCAUUGUUCUAGGUACUGGGAUAAAGCAGUAUGAGGCUGGGCACAGUGGCUCACACCUGUAAUCCUAGCACUGAGAGGCCGAGGCAGGCAGAUCACCUGAGGUCAGGAGUUCAAGACCAGCCUGGCCAACAAAAACAAAAAAAGGCAGUAUGAAAACAGACAUGCCCAAAAAUAUCCCAGGUCAUGGGGCUUAGCUAUUAAUGAGAAAAGACAGACAUGAUGAGGCCUGAAAACUGAACACAGAAUUUAGCAACAUGCAGGUUACAGGCCCCUUUGACAAGACCCAAUAUUAUGAUGUAGUGGGAGGAAAGCCUGCCAGUAGGAGGUUCACAGGAGAAUGAAAAGAGAAAAAUUGAAGACAGUGACUGAGCAUGGACAGCUUUCAAUUGUGCUGAAAGGGAAAAAGAAGUAGGGCAAUAGUUGGAAGUAAAAGUGGGGCCACAGAUUUUUCUUUGUUUAGGAUUAAAAAAAAAAAAGCAUAUUUAUAUGGUGAUAGAAGAAGUCCAGUAGAGAAAGAGAAAUUGCUGGAGGUAUGUGUCCCGGAUGGAAUCCAAUCACAGGUUGAGGGGCUGGCCUUUUGCUAGGAGCGGGAAUUGUCCACAACACACGUCUAUCACACAUGGGAGAGACAGAGUCUAUGGACAAAGGUACAGGCUCAUGGGGACUCCUGGAAGUUCCUUUCUGGUUACUCUUUUUCCAGCAGAGACUGAACUAUAUGACCUAAUUGGCUUUAUUUACGCUACAGCUGCCAUUACUUUUGUUAACCAAGAAUACUCACAAGUAGUUGGCUAAGUUGUGCUCUUGUAAUGUAUGUGUUUCAAAACCAUGAGGGGUUGUGUCAAAGUAGUCAUUGCCAAUCCCACAGAUGAAACAUUUAGUCUAAGAAAAAUAACAGGCAGAAAAGGCAUUUGUUGGCAUAAUAUAGGCAGGAGAGAAAACUGUCAUGAUUCUAUCGAAUUGAAGGAUAAUGAAAACUUUCUUUCUAAUGCUUUUGGCUAUUAGUCAUUCACUCAGUAGUGCCAUACAUUGGCUAUUAGUCAUUCACUCAGUAGUGCCAUACACUUAGCUCCUGAUUAGCUGAGGAUACUGCUCCCUCCUAUUGUGGGACAGUGGAGGAGGCAGCAGAGUGGCCGGCCUGGCAGGGGUAUGGCAGGGUGCAGAGAACAGGGCAUGGAAAACAAACUGCGUUCUUGCUUAGUACUGGCCCUAAGUAAUAGUAAAACCUAUUGUUUAAAAAAUCUAUUUGCUUCUGGGGAUAUUAAAAUAGAGCUGGGAUUAGUAGUUAGAGUAACAUUACCUCCAUAUCUUCUCGUACUUGUUCCUGCUGGUCUCUUAGCUCUCCGAAAGCAUCAAUAAUAAGACCUGGAAUGUUAAAUACAAAGACAAAGCAAUCUGUGUAGUGGUUCAGGGGUAGAGGAAUGAUAAAGGAAGAAGCUACUUUGUUCUGUUAAAAAAAAAAAGUGAAUUAUCAAAGCAAAAUUAGAAAAAUAAUACUCGUGUUUCUUUGUGUUACAUCCUGGCUAACAAUUUCUCAUUGUUCCUCCUAACUCUACCUUUCUACACCAUGCAGUGCUGUUAACUACUUGCUCCUCCCUGAAACUCUUUCCUUUCUACUUCUCCCUGGUUGGUCUCCUAUUUUGCUUAGCUAUUUGUGUUCAGUCUGUGUGAUAGGCUCUCCCUCUUCUCCUAGCACCUCUGACACUGAGGUGGAUCAGGGUUCCUCCUCAGUUACUUCACUUCUUAGCCCUCAACACCUGCAUGUCUUACAGGUUCCUCCACUCAGCAUGACUCAAGCUAAAUUUAUCAUCUUUCUCCAAUCUUGACAAGCUGUUGACUAAAAUAUCAUUCUUUCCCUCCCCUCCCCUGCACUGUCCAGCUCCUCUGCUCCUACCCUACCUCCCUCUCUGGGAAGAAAAUGAAGAGGACAAGACUAGCCACAGGAGAGAUCUCAGAAGCAGAAGUGAGGAGUAAAUAAUUCAGAGUAGAGGAACAGAAGGAAGGGGUUCCUCUGUAUGGAUGAAGCUUCUUAUAACUGUGCCUGGGUGUGUAUUUGGCUUUAUAUAUAGCCAAAGCCUCAGGUAUAGUAGAUGCUAAAUUAGUUCUUGCUAAAUUAACAAGUAAAUGAAUUCACACGCUUCUUCAUAAACCAAUUAAGUCAUAGAUGGAAGAAAGCAAAAAGAACUAGAUUAAACCCUGUUCAUACUCAACACAAUUGGCAAUCAUACCUUGAAUGAUGGCCAGCAAGAUGACAAUGACGAAGAAGAAAAAGGUAAUGUCAAAGACAAUGCGAUACAUUUCAUAAGGAUCACCAGCAGGGUCUUCAAUUUCAUCACCAAUGCCACCUCCUGCUCUCACUCCCACGUACAUGUGGAAAAGGUAACACUAGAGAAGAAAAAUAAGGGGGAUUUAGGCAAAAGUCACAGUUCUGUUUUUAGCAAGAUGCUCAGAUCAUUCAUAUGAUUCGGUCAGAUUGUGGCAGCCCUAAGCCACGAGAGGGGAACUCUUCAGAGGUGCCAGUAUUCAUGCUGCUAGCUGCUGUCCACUGCACCCUCUGGACAGUUUGAUAUCUACAAAGAUGGAAAGACUGUCGUUACAUUUAGGCUUUUAAAAGGUAUUUUUAGGCCCAUUAAAGGUGUAUAUAAGUUAAAAGAUCUUUAAGCCUUGAUGAGUAUGGCCUAUGCCAUAUAAUAAUUUUUCCUCAUUUAAUUUUAAGAGUGUUAGCCUGGCCUUCAGGCUGUGCUAUAAACUGCAAAAAGGUCCCCCCUCUUCUUCAUCCACAUUCCCCUUACACCUGGUAGGGCAGGGAUUCCUGCAGCAGGAAGGUCAAAGGUAAUGGACUUUUCUGCUCCUCCUGUUCUGCAGGUUUGAGCCAAUCUAGGCACGGGCUCCCUGAGCAGGGCACCCUCUGUCUCUCCACCUGAUGGGUUGAUUAGACUCACAGAGAAAGGACCGUCUUACACCUGGAAAAUCAAAAGCCAGGGGCAGCCUGAAGACACGCUGGUCAUGCCAGUACUCUAGGGGCUAGGAUUGCUGUCUCAUGACGGUGCUUGGCCCGAGAAAGCACAUGGAGAGUUUUUCGUCAAGAAGUGUUACCUCUUUUAUGGAGAUGCUCACAGACUGGGCAUUUCACUGUCCCCUGUCCCUGAGACACAGAUUCUUUUUCUGAAAUCUGGUCAAAAUAAACUGGCGAUGUUGCUGCAGCCAAGCUGGCUUACUCUGGGCAGUGCCUUUUUUCUCACGAAGAUCUGGCCUGACGGGACUCCCCCUCCCCACCUCCAACCUGAUCCUGCUGCUGGCUGUCCGCAAAGAACCUCCGACUGGCUUGCUGAAAUAAAUCAAGUGCUUAAUCCCGGUCCAUGGGACUUUGCUCUCUGUUCUGAGAGACGAUGAUCAAAGCUCAACUUCCAUGAAAUUUAGACACUGGUUUCAUUCAUAAUAAUGUCUCAUCUUGGCCAGGUGCAGUGGCUCACGCCUGUAAUCCCAGCACUUUGGGAGGCAGAGGUGGGCAGAUCACCUGAGGUCGGGAGUUUGAGACCAGCCUGACCAACAUAGAGAAACCCCAUCACUACUAAAAAAAAUACAAAAUUAGCCAGGUGUGGUGGUGCAUGCCUGUAAUCCCAGCUACUAGGGAGGCUGAGGCAGAAGAAUCACUUGAACCUGAGAGGCGGAGGUUGCAAUGAGCUGAGAUGACGCCAUUGCACUCCAGCCUGGGCGACAAAAGCAAAACUCCAUCUCAAAAAAAUAAAAUAAUGUCUCAUCUUUACCCCGGAAAUAGAUGAAUGAUGACGCCACUGUGCAGGGUGCUUCCCUUUCCACGGGGCUUAGAUGUGUGGUAAUGAAAACUACCUCCAUCACUUCUGUCUUCCCAGGACACUCUCCUGUUUGGAGAAGACAUCUGUCUUCUACUUUAAUCUCUGCUGUGCUCUGUAACUAACUCUACAGUUCUCAAGAGCACCCCCACACAGCCCUUCUUCCCAGUGAGGUGGUGGGGCGGGGUGGCCCCGCAGUGGGUGGGCUGGCCCCGCAGUGGGUGGGCUCUCACCGUCAUCAUGUCGUCGCACUUCAUAUCGGGCUCGUCAUCGUCUUCGCUUUUGUUGUAGAACUUGCGGAAGAAGUUGAAAGCCACCACAGUAUAGAGAUAAACCACCACGGCCAGGAGACCGACAGUCAGAACCAACUGGGAAUGAGAGGACAGAGAAAGGAAAAGGAGUGGGGUCUUCUCUACCUUGAAAGGUUCACAGGAGACUCUAAGAAAACGAGGAGGAAGAGUGAGGACGGGCAAGGAGAGGAAAUGGGGAAGGGGUGGAGGGCGGCUAAGAAAGCUAUCAGGCCAUGAGCAGAGGAGGAAAGAUGGCACCACAGGUAAAGAGAAGCGGGCUUCCUGGCAGAAAAGAGUAAUGAUGGGGUGUUGGGGGCUGAAUUGUGUCCCUUCAAAUUCAUAUGCUGAGGUCCUGGCCUCCAGUACCUCAGAAUGUGACUGUAUUUGGAGAUGGAGAUACAGCCUUCAAAGAGGUGAGUAAGUUAAACUGAGGUUGUUAAGAUGGGCCCGCAACCAAUCUCACCGGCAUCCUUAGAAGAAAAGGAGUUGGAGACACAGAGAGAGAGGCUAGACACAGGCACACGUGAAGGGACGGUCAGGGGAAGCGGCAGCGAGAGGGUGCUGUCUACAGCCACAGAGAGGCCCCUGAGGAGACCAGGUGCUGGUGCUGCCAGCACCAUGAUACUGGACUUACUUACCGCCUCCAGAACUGUCGAAAAGACAUUUCUGUUGUUUAACAAAAUAGCAGUCUGUAGUACUUCGUUCUGGCAGCCCAAGCAGACUAAUGUAUAGGGCAUUAGAUUGGGCGUAAGUAAAAUAUAAAGGAACUUAAGUAUUGAAUAGUGCAGGUGCUGUGAGGAGGGAUACAUUGUGUUUUGUUAUUGUUCAUACAGAGCUAGCUGUUACCUGAGGCUUCACAAUGUAGCUUCUACUCUAAUGCUGCUGCUUAAAAAACCCCAGGCCGGGCAUGGGGUGGCUCACGCCUGUAAUCCCAGCACUUUAGGAGGCCGAGGCGGGCGGAUCACGAGGUCAGGAGGUCGAGAUCAGCCUGGCCAACAUGGUGAAACCCUGUCUCUACUAAAAAUACAAAAAUUAGCUUGGCGUGGUGGUGUGUGCCUGUAAUCCCACCUACUUGGGAGGCUGAGGCAGGAGAAUCGCUUGAACCCAGGAGUCGGAGGUUGCAGUAAGCUGAGAUCGCGCCACUGCACUUCAGCCUUGUGGCAGAGUGAGACUCCGUCUCAAAAAAACAAACAAACAAACAAACAAAAAACCCAAAGGUUCUUUGGACUGGUGGAUAUCCCUACCUUAUACUAUUUCAUAAAUAAUCAUGCACUGGAUAAUUGUCACAACUUUGAAGUUACUCUAAGAAUUAUGAUGGUGGAGCUGAGUCACACUUUUUAUUACAGAGAAUUCUGCCCAGGCCCUUUGCAGUGUCCUAGGGCACGCUUACUUCCAGGCUUUAGGAGUGAGAGUUCACUGGCUUAAGUGAGGAGUACACAGGACCUGCACAUCUGACCUCUCUCAAGGACUAGGCAUUGAGCUGGGAGAUAGGAAGAUCAACAGGAUCAGAGCUUUGCCUUCAAGGAGCCACACAAAAGGGAGUGGGUCCAUUCUGUUCUGCAUCAGUAGAAACCAUACCUGUUUGCCAUUGUGAGUUACAGAUGACAGAAUGGUCCUCAGUGUCUUGAAGCCCAUUGCGAUGUCCAAUAGGGGAGAAAACAUCUACUAUGCAGAAAACAAUGAGGACUGUGUUAACUUGUUUAAGGCAGAUGAGUAUAUGAAUGAAGCCAAAAACCUACAUAUGUUCAUAUCCAACCCCUUCUGUGACUUACUCUUCUUGAGAUAUUAUCAUAAAAGUAGCAUCACAUUUACUCAUGUUUGUAUGUGGAGAACUUAAAAAACAUACACCACAUUUUUUGGUGAUCACGGAACUCACCCCCACUAACAAGGCAUACCUUUCUCUUUACAAACUUGUCCCAGUAGUUAUUAGGAAAAGAUCUGAAAAACAAAACGAAAAAGGUUGGUUCUUCAUUCUUAACAUCAAGGAAAACACAUCAAGAAACGUUUCAGUUUGAGUGCCUGGAUCUGGGAUCUUUCUGGUUUGUGUCCUGCUCACCAAAGAAUUUUAAGAUCUGAUUGAAGUUCAGAGUCAUCACAGGCUCUACUGAGUCAUGUAUGGCUUCAUUACUUUGUAUUGGCUUUUGAAACACUCAGAAGGCCACUGGGCAGUUUCUGCCUCAGAAUUAUGAUUUGGAGCCAAGAAUUGUGAUGACAGAUUAGACAGAGACAGUUGUAUGUUUCUAAGUCCUUUCCCUAAUCCCAGUAUAACCAGAAACAAAAUGCUACAGAAAACACAGGCAUUCCAUUCAAUGAGUCACUACUUUAUGUCACCUACUGGGGUAGAUAAUGGCGAUGCGGGAUGUGGGGUGUGGUAGAAAGUGUAGAUAAAGUCCCUAACUAUAUGCAGUUUCCAGUCUGGGAAUCACCUUUAGUUUAUUUACAUUGGAUUUUUUAAGCUGAGUGUUUUUCCACUCUAUUUUCUAUUCCCACGUAAUGCCACAGGGCCUGCUUUCCUCCAGGAGUUGGAUCCCUUUCUUUUUUGGAGAUGGUUCUGUACCAUCCCCUAGCAUCCCCAGAGAGAUGAUCUUUCUUCUCUCUGUAGCUUGUACCAGCUCCACUGCAAAUAUUUCUUACUGUUAAAGUUAAGAAAGAACUGUCAUCUUCAGGAAUGCUUGCAAAAACCAUUGAAAAUAUGUUGUUCCUAUCCAGAAUUACUGAAUCCUUCCUGUGGGGGGGUUCCUUGUAAGACUGGAUUGCAGCCUAGGAGUCUCUGGCCUUUGGUGCAUGCAUUCUUACUUUUGUUUUCCUUUAUUUGAUUCAUUCUUUUUGGUUCUAGAACACAACAGUUCCCUAUUCUCCAGAGACCACCCAAGUUGGUGAUAAGGAAAUGGAGACCUCCUACUAUUCACUGACCUCUCAUGCCGCCUCUCCCCCAACAGGGUGGCAGUAUUUAAAAAAAAAUGUUUUUUUUUUUUGGUUUGUUAAAGCAGUUUCUUUGUCUUAAACAUUUAAAUGCCACUUGAAAGCAAAAACAAAUGCUGGUGUUACAGAGUAAACUGCUAAUAUUUUAUCUCUGGGGGAUGAAAAUAACAAUUAUUUUGACUUUCUUCCUUGUACAUUGCUCCUUGAUUUUUUUAUGCACUGCAUUUAAAUUGAAAAUAAAACAAAUAAAAAUCAAGCCAUGCGCUCUCUGCCACACUGAUACCUCCUUUCUCUUAAAUCAUUUAUACAAAUGGUAACAUACAACUCAGCCUGGUCGCAUUUUCUCCUAAGCAGAAGAUUCCACGAGUGAUGCUGAAGGGCCAAGGACCACAGGCUCUGGGCAUGACCCCUUCAUAGAUGCGGUCUUACCUUCAUCUGAGCAUUCUGAAUUUCUUGUCCCCUGACUAGAUGCUUUUAACCAGAACCCGGAGUGCCUGAGAAACACCGGUAUGUUCCUGUCUUCUGCAGCCUGUUCCAAUUCAGAUUGUUGAAGAAAUACCAUGUGUCAGAUUCCCAGCCAUGUUGCGUUCCCAGCUACUCUGAUAUAACUGGCCACUAAGGACAAACGUGAGCUAAGUGAUUCUGGGUGGCUCCCCUCUGUAGCAGUCAACUCCUCUUCCCUGAAGCAUGACAGGUGUCAAAUGGGAAUACCCCGGGAGCCUGCCCAGCCGCUGCAAGUUCCCGUUACCUGUUGCACACCAGCAUUGCCUCCGUUCAGAAUGGCGAUCCCCAGCUUCAGCGUCUCAACCACCAUGGGGCUCAUCUCACCUGCCAUGGUGAAGAUUCGAUUGAAUCACCAAGGAAACAGAUGGGAAGGGAGAAGACAGACAAUCA
rnacentral:lncRNA from 10 species